CGCCGGGCCGGAAACGCGUAAACACGCGUGACCCGGGGCCUCACCGCGUCUCCACCGUCCCCGACGCGCGGUGAGCGUUCAGCCCUCAGAGCGCGCUCCUGGCCCAGCAAGAAAGAAAAGACUCGGGUGCCGGUGGCAUCAGGGCGCAGGGCCCAAGCUAGGUGGAGUAGCCCGGUGAGCGGGAGGAGCCCGAAGGGCACGAAGGGCACGCACGCCUGGGAUCCCAGCACUCGGGAGGCUGAGGCAGGAGGGUCGCUGUGAGUUCCAGACCAGCCUGGGCUACGUAGUGAGUUCCGGGUCAGUCUCAACUACGUAGUGAGACCCUGUCUCAAAAAACCAAAAAAAAAAAGAAAAAAAGAAAAAGAAACCCGAAGUACAGAGCGUCCCUGGAAGGCAGGGGUCUCAGAAACCGCAGGCCACUUUCUGGUGGGAAAAUCGGGAAGAGCACCCUGACUGUUCCUGUUUGUCCCGCCAGAGGCAGGCAUGGGCAGGACGCAGUGGCUUCCUCAAAUCUAGAGCUCGCCGUGAGUGCCGCUGCGCGUUCUGCUGCUGUCUCAUCAUCUGGACCCUCGAAGUCGCCGGUUCAACACCGCUUUCUAGGUUCGGCUCGGAGCGGGGCUGGACGUGUGGGGCCCCCUCCCGCCGGCCCUGUGGGGUUGAAGAGAUCGCUCGGCCGGGCUUGCUGGGAACCAGCAGCCUCGGAGGCCAGCAGGUGGACGGGGCUGCCGGGCCAAGGCCUUGGACGAGAGGCUGACAGAGAGGACGUCACAUUAAAACCACCGGUGCUGUGGACGCCACGGCCUGCGUCAGAGCCCCGCUGUCCGCACGCUGUCUGCUCCCGGGCCUCUCCGACCCCUCGCCUGGUACGUGUGACCAUUUCAGGACAUGAAGGGGCCACUAAGAGCCCGGACAGGCCAAGUGGGACCCCUGAAAUCACCUGUUCCUGGACCAGUGCGUAAGAAGACCGAGGAUGUCAGGGUGGCUUAAGUAUGGGCAUGCAGUUCCUCAAUACGUUCCUGCGCACCAGGGCCUGAGAACAACAAGGGUCCGUCUUCUCCCAUCUCAGAGCCCUGGUGGCUGAGACCGAGGCAUCCCGAGCCGAGCUCCCUCCACAGGCUCCCCAGGAGACCCUCCUGCCUCUGCCUCUUCCUGGGGCUCCGGGUGGCCACGCGCCGUGGCCCCACCGUGGCUCCAGUUUCUACCUCUGUCUCCACGCAGCUGCUGCUUUUGUUUCCUUAUUUAUGUCAGUGUGGACUCUAUUUCCAAAUAAGGCUCCUCUGAGUUUGAGGGUGGACGUGAGUUUGGGGCACCGUUCACCCCAACACUGUGUCCUUUCCCGACGGCAGCAGCUACGGGUUUCACCUCGUCCUCUCCCAGCCCACGGGGUGAACGCAGUAGCAGACUCUGUCCAGUGCUGUCCUCCCAGCGGCCCCUCCCUGCUCUGCUCGUCCCUCCUCUCGGGCUCUGUUUCCGUGCUGAGGGCGCCUGCAAGGCCACCCCGCACCCUGUGCAAAGUUCCAGGGACGUAGCCGCCUCGGCCUCCUGCCCACCUCCCCUUUCCCGGCUAGUUUGGUUUCCUAGAUGUCUUGGGAGCCAGGGCUCCUCCGGUCCUCACAGCCACGCAGGCGUCGGGGCUGGCGCGGGAGGGGUCGUGCACACCGCUGUGGCCCCACGGA
rnacentral:lncRNA from 1 species